rnacentral:rRNA from 1 species
UACGGAGGGGACUAGCGUUGCUCGGAAUUACUGGGCGUAAAGCGCACGUAGGCGGAUUUGUAAGUCAGGGGUGAAAUCCCGGGGCUCAACCUCGGAACUGCCUUUGAUACUGCAAAUCUCGAGUCCGGAAGAGGUGAGUGGAAUUCCUAGUGUAGAGGUGAAAUUCGUAGAUAUUAGGAAGAACACCAGUGGCGAAGGCGGCUCACUGGUCCGGUACUGACGCUGAGGUGCGAAAGCGUGGGAGCAAACAGG